GGAAGGGUGGCCGAGCGGUUUAAGGCAACGGUCUUGAAAACCGUCGUGGGCGCGAGUUCACCGUGGGUUCGAAUCCCACCCCUUCCGCCA
rnacentral:tRNA from 1 species